rnacentral:rRNA from 1 species
CAGCAGCCGCGGUAAUACGGAAGGUCCAGGCGUUAUCCGGAUUUAUUGGGUUUAAAGGGAGCGUAGGCGGACGAUUAAGUCAGCUGUGAAAGUUUGCGGCUCAACCGUAAAAUUGCAGUUGAAACUGGUUGUCUUGAGUGCACGCAGGGAUGUUGGAAUUCAUGGUGUAGCGGUGAAAUGCUUAGAUAUCAUGAAGAACUCCGAUCGCGAAGGCAUAUGUCUGGAGUGCAACUGACGCUGAGGCUCGAAAGUGCGGGUAUCGAACAGGAUUAGAUACCCUGGUAGUCCGCACAGUAAACGAUGAAUACUCGCAGUGUGCGAUAUACUGUAUGCUGCCAAGUGAAAACGUUAAGUAUUCCACCUGGGGAGUACGCCGGCAACGGUGAAACUCAAAGGAAUUGACGGGGGCCCGCACAAGCGGAGGAACAUGUGGUUUAAUUCGAUGAUACGCGAGGAACCUUACCCGGGCUUGAACUAAGCAGGAAGAUGGGCAGAGACGCCUGUUGUCUUCGGACCUGCUUGGAGGUGCUGCAUGGUUGUCGUCAGCUCGUGCCGUGAGGUGUCGGCUUAAGUGCCAUAACGAGCGCAACCCUUCUCCACGUUUGCCAUCAGGUUAUGCUGGGCACUCCGUGGAUACUGCCAUCGUAAGAUGUGAGGAAGGUGGGGAUGACGUCAAAUCAGCACGGCCCUUACGUCCAGGGCUACACACGUGUUACAAUGGCCGGUACAGAGGGAAGCCACCAGGCGACUGGGCGCUGAUCCAUGAAAACCGGUCUCAGUUCGGACUGGAGUCUGCAACCCGACUCCACGAAGCUGGAUUCGCUAGUAAUCGCGCAUCAGCCAUGGCGCGGUGAAUACGUUCCCGGGCCUUGUACACACCGCCCGUCAAGCCAUGAAAGCCGGGGGUGCCUGAAAGCUGUGACCGUAAGGGGCGGCCUAGGGUAAAACCGGUGAUUGGGGCUAAGUCGUAACAAGGUAGCCGU